UUGGGAUAGCUCAGUUGGUAGAGCAGAGGACUGAAAAUCCUCGUGUCACCA
rnacentral:tRNA from 17 species